GAAAGUGGAAAUAACAAACCAGAACUAAUUUUUAUGGACCAAGUAGAAGAUAUAUCAUCGGAUUUCAUUCUGCACAAAAACGAGAAUUGCAUUCAAAUUCGCAUUAAUGAUGGAACCCGUGAUGGCAGAAUCAUUUUGACAAACUCAGAUGAAAUAGGAUUAAAAGAAUGGUCAUCUUCCCUAAGAUCGGCACACAAAAUUUCUCAAGACCUCUUGGGAUCAAUGGCU